GACGAACGCUGGCGGCGUGCCUAAUACAUGCAAGUCGAACGCAGUGGGGACGGGUGAGUAACACGUGGGUAACCUCCCAUCAGAGGGGAUAACACUUGGCAACAGGUGCUAAACCGAUACUGAUGGAUGGACCCGCGGUGCAUUAGCUAGUUGGUGAGGUAACGGCUCACAAAGGCCACGAUGCAUAGCCGACCUGUGGUGGUAUCCGGCAACACUGGGAUUGUGACCCGGCCCAGACUCCUACGGGAGGCAGCAGUAGGGAAUCUUCGGCAAUGGACGAAAGUCUGACCGAGCAACGCCGCGUGAUUGAAGAAGGUUUUCGGAUCGUAAAACUCUGUUGUUAGAGAAGCGGUAUCUAACCAGAAAGCCACGGCUAACUACGUGCCAGCAGCCGCGGUAAUUC
rnacentral:rRNA from 1 species